rnacentral:misc_RNA from 1 species
ACAUAUGUCCUAACAUUAAUAUCCUAAGUACAUGAACUAACUAAAUUUAUGUAUCACACAAAUCAUAAACUCCUCUCUUUCAAGUGUCAAGACAAUGUUCACAUUUCAACAGGUAAGACCCCUAUUUUAUCCUCUCCAUAUCCUCCAUAUUAACAGUUAGGUGCUUGCUUCAGAAGUAAAAUGACAGUUUAUCCAUCUGAAGUAUUUUAAGGGUUCUAUUUCCUG